UACGUAGGGGGCAAGCGUUGUCCGGAUUUAUUGGGCGUAAAGAGCGUGUAGGCGGCUUUACAGGUCCGUUGUGAAAACUCGAGGCUCAACCUCGAGACGCCGGUGGAAACCGUAAAGCUAGAGUCCGGAAGAGGAGACUGGAAUUCAUGGUGUAGCAGUGAAAUGCGUAGAGAUCAUGAGGAAGACCAGUGGCGAAGGCGGGUCUCUGGACAGUUCCUGACACUGAGGCACGAAGGCCAGGGGAGCAAACGGG
rnacentral:rRNA from 1 species